rnacentral:rRNA from 1 species
CCUACGGGCGGUAGCAGUGGGGAAUAUUGGACAAUGGGGGGAACCCUGAUCCAGCCAUGCCGCGUGUGUGAAGAAGGCCCUCGGGUUGUAAAGCACAUUCAGUGAGGAAGAACGCCUGGUGGUUAAUACCCAUCAGGAAAGACAUCACUCACAGAAGAAGCACCGGCUAACUCCGUGCCAGCAGCCGCGGUAAUACGGAGGGUGCGAGCGUUAAUCGGAAUUACUGGGCGUAAAGCGCGCGUAGGUGGCUUGAUAAGCCGGUUGUGAAAGCCCCGGGCUCAACCUGGGAACGGCAUCCGGAACUGUCAAGCUAGAGUGCAGGAGAGGAAGGUAGAAUUCCCGGUGUAGCGGUGAAAUGCGUAGAGAUCGGGAGGAAUACCAGUGGCGAAGGCGGCCUUCUGGACUGACACUGACACUGAGGUGCGAAAGCGUGGGUAGCAAACAGGAUUAGAUACCCCUGUAGUC